rnacentral:rRNA from 1 species
UGCAAGUCGAACGGCAGCAUGAUCUAGCUUGCUAGAUUGAUGGCGAGUGGCGAACGGGUGAGUAAUACAUCGGAACGUGCCCUGUAGUGGGGGAUAACUAGUCGAAAGAUUAGCUAAUACCGCAUACGACCUGAGGGUGAAAGUGGGGGACCGCAAGGCCUCAUGCUAUAGGAGCGGCCGAUGUCUGAUUAGCUAGUUGGUGGGGUAAAGGCCCACCAAGGCGACGAUCAGUAGCUGGUCUGAGAGGACGAUCAGCCACACUGGGACUGAGACACGGCCCAGACUCCUACGGGAGGCAGCAGUGGGGAAUUUUGGACAAUGGGCGAAAGCCUGAUCCAGCAAUGCCGCGUGUGUGAAGAAGGCCUUCGGGUUGUAAAGCACUUUUGUCCGGAAAGAAAUGGCUCUGGUUAAUACCUGGGGUCGAUGACGGUACCGGAAGAAUAAGGACCGGCUAACUACGUGCCAGCAGCCGCGGUAAUACGUAGGGUCCAAGCGUUAAUCGGAAUUACUGGGCGUAAAGCGUGCGCAGGCGGUUGUGCAAGACCGAUGUGAAAUCCCCGAGCUUAACUUGGGAAUUGCAUUGGUGACUGCACGGCUAGAGUGUGUCAGAGGGGGGUAGAAUUCCACGUGUAGCAGUGAAAUGCGUAGAGAUGUGGAGGAAUACCGAUGGCGAAGGCAGCCCCCUGGGAUAACACUGACGCUCAUGCACGAAAGCGUGGGGAGCAAACAGGAUUAGAUACCCUGGUAGUCCACGCCCUAAACGAUGUCAACUAGUUGUUGGGGAUUCAUUUCCUUAGUAACGUAGCUAACGCGUGAAGUUGACCGCCUGGGGAGUACGGUCGCAAGAUUAAAACUCAAAGGAAUUGACGG